rnacentral:rRNA from 1 species
GGGUCCGGACACACUGAGGAUUGACAGGCAAUAUUAAUACGUGUUUCGGCGCGUAUUAUGUUAAAUAUGCUAGUCCUUUCAUGAUUAUGUGAUAGGUGGUGCAUGGCCGUUCUUAGUUCGUGGAGUGAUCUGUCUGCUUAAUUGCGUUUCACUAAGAAUCUAUCAAUACGUGCGUUGCGGCACUUUGACCCCUCUCUGAGCGCGCGUCUUAGUUGCUUAGCUCGCACAAUUAGGUUCUGAAAGCAACGAACGUGACCGCAACCUCUUGUUGCCUUUAUACCAAACAUUUUUGCUGUUCUCAGCAUUAAUGCAAAAAGGCUUUUUAAACUAGAGGGACCGCUGUUACUUUCUUAAACCAGAGGAAGGUUGCGGCAAUAACAGGUCUGUGAUGCCCUUAGAUGUUCCGGGCUGCACACGUGCUACAAUGAUUGUUGCAGUGAGCAUCUCAUUUUUACACACCGCAUGCGCGAGUCCGUUUAUUCACUUCGGUGCUUUAAACGUGUAUUUCUGCGCGCGGUAAAGCCUGCUUCGAGAGUAAGUGGGU